rnacentral:rRNA from 1 species
AGUGAACGCUGGCGGUAGGCCUAACACAUGCAAGUCGAACGGCAGCACAGUAAGAGCUUGCUCUUACGGGUGGCGAGUGGCGGACGGGUGAGGAAUACAUCGGAAUCUACUUUUUCGUGGGGGAUAACGUAGGGAAACUUACGCUAAUACCGCAUACGACCAAGGGUGAAAAGAAGGGAUUUUCGGACCUUGCGGGAAUGAAAGAGCCGAUGUCGGAUUAGCCAGUUGGGGGGGGAAAGGCCCACCAAGGGGACGAUCCGUAGCUGGUCUGAGGAGGUGAACCGCCACACUGGAACUGAGACACGGUCCCGACUCCUACGGGAGGCAACCGUGGGGAAUUUUGGACAAUGGGCGCAAGCCUGAUCCAGCCAUACCGCGUGGGUGAAGAAGGCCUUCGGGUUGUAAAGCCCUUUUGUUGGGAAAGAAAAGCAGCAGGUUAAUACCCCGCUGUUCUGACGGUACCCAAAGAAUAAGCACCGGCUAACUUCGUG